rnacentral:lncRNA from 12 species
GGGUGAGUGGAGAGAUCCCUGCACUGAGAGGAAGGCCAAGUCCGCCCCAGGAGGUCAGGCUCUCUCCCUCUGAUUCCCAGUUGCUAGACUAUCUUCACAAGCAGUGUGGUCUCCUGUAAGGGAGAAAGAAAUCCUUCUGAGGAAGAAAUUGGGAGGACUGUAUGUCAUUAAUUCCUUGGCCACUGGCUAGCAGUGUCAGCCAGGUAAAUUAUUUUCCACAUUUUUGUUUCAUUUUUCUCCAGUUUCUGCUCUAUUCCAUCCCCGCUCAUCUGUGAAAAUGGCAGCAAACACUUCCUUAUGAGAAUGUGGUGAAAAUGGAUUAUGUGGUUGGUGCAUUUGGAAUUCCGCAAAGGAAAUGGGCUGCAAAUCCAGAUCUCAUCACAGGGAGACCAGAGAGACAGGGCACCAGCCUAGUGAACUGAUUUCCAAAAAGCCCAGACUUUAUGGAAAUCCUCGCCGACUCCCGAGAAGCCUGCUAAUCAAGGGAGGGUGAUUUCCGAGAGCUCCCCAUCUGCCUUCCUCCCUCUGUUUGGUGAGUGCUGUUCUGUCUGGGUUUUUGCUGUGCUGGCUGCUUGGAGCUCCCUGAGCUCUAUGGCUCAGUUGGACCCCCCCAAGGAAUGGUGGUGAGCUGCUAUUUCAACAGAAACCACUAGUUUGUGGAGGAAGGGAGCAGGCCUCCCUCCCGGGAAGGCUGAUUUUCUCUCCUUUCUGUUCCAUCUGUGCCUAGUGCCGAACCCUC